GACGAGGGGUCCUAGCGUUGUUCGGAAUCAUUGGGCGUAAAGCGUGUGUAGGUGGCCAUUCAAGUCAGUUGUGAAAGCCCCGGGCUCAACCCGGGAAGUGCUUCUGAUACUGUUUGGCUUGAGUACUGGAGAGGAUAGUAGAAUUCCGAGUGUAGAGGUGAAAUUCGUAGAUAUUCGGAAGAACACCAGUGGCGAAGGCGACUUACUGGACACAUACUGACGCUGAGGUGCGAAAGCGUGGGGAGCAAACAGG
rnacentral:rRNA from 1 species